AACAAGGCGUACCUGCGGACCUGCGGAAGGAUCAUUACACAUAUAAAGUAUGCCUGGGAAAAUUCGAAAGAAAAGUACCCAGGCGUAUUCUUAUACCCAUGUCUUUUGCGUACUACUUGUUUCCUUGGUGGGCUUGCCUGCCAUUAGGACACCCCUACAAACCUUUUGUAAUUGCAGUCAGCGUCAAAAAAUAACGUAAUCGUUACAACUUUUAACAAUGGAUCUCAGAUCGGAAGAGCA
rnacentral:misc_RNA from 1 species